CCUUCUAUGCCUUGUAACUUAAAGUUCUCAUCUAAAUACUUCAAUGUUAUCUCCGUCACCCUGUUAGGAUGCCUUAAGGCAAAAACAUUCCUUGAACUUGUACAAUGAUAAACUCAUCCACGCCGACAAAGCUGUUGACCUCAAUUCGUCCCAUCUGCCUGCAUUACGCCCGGAUCCCUCUCAACCUUUCCUAUUUAUGUAACUGUGCAAAUAUGGUUUAAAUGUUGUACCUGAGGCAGAGAGCCGGUGUAGUGAGGCGCUGACAGACACUCACUAUUCCAUGGGCAGGAAGAGGAGCCGAUUCCCACAGUGGAAUUCUUCUCAUUCUUAACUACUAUUAAGAUCCGUAUUUCAACCUUCCUGGUGGAAUUACUGAAACUGUUCCACAGCAAACUGUGGUCCAUUGUCAUUGACUAAGUGUUCUGGAACACCAGUCCUUGAGAAGAGGCUUCUCAACAGAUCAACAGUGUGUGAGGCUGUCGUGGAGGCCAUUGGGAACACUUCUGGCUACUUCGUAGCUGCAUCCACAACUACCAAGAAAUUUGUGCAAAUGAAUGGUCUGGCAAAAUCCUCAUGAAUCCUCUGCCAGGGCAAUGCAGGCCAUUCCCAGGGAUGGAGAGGCACUGCUCUUGGCAUCUUCUGGAUGUGAUGGCAUCCUGAACAGUGCAUGUCCAAGCUGCUCGAUCUUCUGAUUUAUCCCAGGCCACCAGACAAUUCUUUGAGCCAACACUUUGAUUUUGACAAUGCCUAGAUGACUGACAUGAAAGGGAAUGAUUUAAAGGCUAUGAGACAUUCACUUCAAUCACUCAUAACGUGACAUGACUGCGCCGACACCAUCAGGUGAGGCAUCACAGGCAGGCAUUACUGGACAAUUUGGAUUAUAAUGUCUGACGACACCGUUUCCUUUGUCUUUUGGAAAGCUAACUCACACUGCAUUGUCUGUUGCCGUUUCUUUCCGAUGAGUUGAAGGGACUGUAUUUGACAGGAACCUGUUAUAAUAAUUGAAAAAUGCUGAAAA